GCCAGCAUGGUGCAGUGGUUUGAGUGUUAGACUAGGACACUGGAGACCAGGGUUCGUAUCCCUGUUCAGCCA